UAGGUGGCAAGCGUUGUUCGGUAUAACUGGGCGUAAAGGAUGCGUAGGCGGUUAAAUAAGUUAUAUGUUAAAUAUAUAGGCUUAACCUGUAGAAAGCAUAUAAAACUGUUUAACUAGAGUGCAGGAGAGGUAAGUGGAAUUCCUAGUGUAGCGGUGAAAUGCGUAGAGAUUAGGAAGAACACCAGUGGCGAAGGCGACUUACUGGACUGUAACUGACGCUGAGGCAUGAGAGCAUGGGGAGCAAA
rnacentral:rRNA from 1 species